rnacentral:lncRNA from 1 species
ACAAAGAUACUUUAAAAGUAGGUUACUAUUUAUUUACAUAUAAACCUAGUAUUCUGUCCACUAUAUAAAAAGGCUGUUGGGGUCAAUUAUCAUUCAAAUAUGGAAGCUGAUUAAGAUCAAAUUAAUUUUUCUUUGUACAAAUUAUGUUCCUUUUACUUGGAAGUGAGUGUUUAGAGCUCCUUUUCCUGCAUUCCGAAGGCAGCUUUGAGCUUGAUUGGAGCAGGUUGAGUUUCUUGUAUUUUUUACUUAAUAUCAGUGUCUAUUCAUUCAGGUAUCAGAGUUUUGAAAGGGACAGGAAGAGUUCCAUUGGCAGGACCUGUAACUGCUCCUAGGGAAAAUCUAACCUGACCCCGUCACUGUCUGGAAGUGAUCGCAUCCAGUGACAAGUUUAAUGAAAACAUGAAGACUAAUCAGUUUCUGUUAAGUUAACAUCAAAGAAAAGUUUUCUGUUUCCAUGUCC